GGGAAACAUGGAGGCCAGUUGGGAACACUGCUGCCCAGUCUGGUGUCUUUCUGCAUGGAGUUCUCCCUGUGAUCACUGGGUUUCUCUCCAGCGCUGCUGACAGAGACGUGGCUGAACGGCUCGUCUGCUCCGGGACAACAGGAUGAGUCACACAGAUAAACGUUGCAUAACAAGGAUCAUGUCCAAAUCUGCAGGAUGAAGGGGGAACAGGAACAGCAGGAAGUCUUCCUGAGGGCUAAACGGUUCCAAACUGGGCCAGUUCGCUCAGCUCCACGUCU